rnacentral:tRNA from 1 species
CGGGGAGUAGCGUAGCCCGGUUCAACGCGCCUGGUUUGGGACCAGGAGAUCGGAGGUUCGAAUCCUCUCUCCCCGA